CACCGCGGUUAGACGAGAGACUCAAGUUGUUAGACAUCGGCGUAAAGAGUGGUUAAGAUGUUCUAAAAAACUAAAGCCGAACGCCCUCAUAGCUGUUAUACGCUUCCGAAGGUAAGAAGCCCAACUACGAAAGUGGCUUUAUUCAAUCUGAAUCCACGAAAGCUAGGGUA
rnacentral:rRNA from 1 species